rnacentral:rRNA from 1 species
AGUGAACGCUGGCGGCAGGCCUAACACAUGCAAGUCGAACGGCAGCACAGUAAGAGCUUCCUCUUACGGGUGGCGAGUGGUGGACGGGUGAGGAAAACAUCCGUAGUUACUUUUUCGUGGGGGAUAACGUAGGGAAUCUUACGCCAUUAGUGCAUACGACCUACGGGGGAAAGCAGCGGACCUUCGGAUCUCGCGCGAUUGAAUGAGCCGAUGUCGGAUUAGCUAGUUGGCGGGGUAAAGGCCCACCAAGGCGACGAUCCGUAGCUGGUCUGAGAGGAUGAUCAGCCACACUGGAACUGAGACACGGUCCAGACUCCUACGGGAGGCAGCAGUGGGGAAUAUUGGACAAUGGGCGAAAGCCUGAUCCAGCCAUGCCGCGUGGGUGAAGAAGGUCUUCGGAUUGUAAAGCCCUUUUGUUGGGAAAGAAAAGCAGCAAGUUAAUACCCCGCUGUUCUGACGUUACCCAAAGAAUAAGCACCGGCUAACUUCGUG